CAGGUGGACUUUCCUGGGUUUACCUUGAGACUGAGCCUUCUGACCAGGUCUAGAAGCAUGGUGGUGGCUUCCUGUGUUUCCUGGCCCAGGGAUUGGAAGCAAUCGAUGGUGAGUUGUGUGAAGCGGAGGGCCUCGUUGAACAUGGAGGCCUUCAGGAGGCAAUCGUCGAGGGGUUUGGAUGCCUAAGGAUCGAAGAGUUGCCCUUGAGUCCUUCAUUGAGUGGAGCACCUCAUUCGUGGUGGAAGCAAAGAGUUUAUCACCAUCAAAAGAGAGGUCCUCUAUGGUGCUCUGAACCUUGCGAGGAAAGAGGGAAGAGGAGAGCCAUGAACCUCGGUGCAUGACCAUCGCCUUAGCGGUGGAUCUUGCUGCGGUAUUGGCUGCAUCCAGAGCUGCUUGAAGAGCCAUGCGUGAUAUGAUUUGGCCCUCGGAAACUAAAGCUGUAAACUGUUGUUUCUUCUGGUCUGGAAUGUGUUCAAUAAAGUCCAUGAACUUGUUAUAGUUUCUAUGGUCGUACUUUGCCAGAAUUGCGGUAUAAUUGGCAAUUCAAAAUUGUAAGGUU